UACGGAGGAUCCGAGCGUUAUCCGGAUUUAUUGGGUUUAAAGGGUGCAUAGGCGGCUCUUUAAGUCAGCGGUGAAAUUUUGCAGCUUAACUGUAACAGUGCCGUUGAUACUGGGGAGCUAGGAUUUGGUUGCUGUGGGUGGAAUGUGUGGUGUAGCGGUGAAAUGCUUAGAGAUCACACAGAAUAUCGAUUGCGAAGGCAGCUCACAAAGCCAAGAUUGACGCUGAGGCACGAAAGUGUGGGGAUCAAACAGGAUUA
rnacentral:rRNA from 1 species